UACGUAGGUGGCAAGCGUUGUUCGGAAUUACUGGGCGUAAAGGGCUCGUAGGCGGCCAACUAAGUCGGACGUGAAAUCCCUCGGCUUAACCGGGGAACUGCGUCUGAUACUGGAUGGCUUGAAUCCGGGAGAGGGAUGCGGAAUUCCAGGUGUAGCGGUGAAAUGCGUAGAUAUCUGGAGGAACACCGGUGGCGAAGGCGGCAUCCUGGACCGGCAUUGACGCUGAGGAGCGAAAGCCAGGGGAGCAAACGGG
rnacentral:rRNA from 1 species